UACGUAGGUGGCAAGCGUUGUCCGGAAUUACUGGGUGUAAAGCGCGUGUAGGCGGGAGGCCAAGUCUGCUGUGAAAUCGCCCGGCUCAACUGGGCGGGGUCGGUGGAAACUGGUCACCUGGAGGACGGUAGAGGCGAGUGGAAUUCCCGGUGUAGUGGUGAAAUGCGUAGAGAUCGGGAGGAACACCAGUGGCGAAGGCGGGUCUCUGGACAGUUCCUGACACUGAGGCACGAAGGCCAGGGGAGCAAACGGG
rnacentral:rRNA from 1 species